rnacentral:rRNA from 1 species
UACGUAGGGUGCAAGCGUUGUCCGGAUUUAUUGGGCGUAAAGAGCGUGUAGGCGGCCAAAUAGGUCGGUUGUGAAAACUGGAGGCUUAACCUCCAGACGUCGACCGAAACCAUCUGGCUAGAGUCCGGAAGAGGAGAGUGGAAUUCCUGGUGUAGCGGUGAAAUGCGCAGAUAUCAGGAAGAACACCCGUGGCGAAGGCGGCUCUCUGGGACGGUACUGACGCUGAGACGCGAAAGCGUGGGGAGCAAACAGG